rnacentral:rRNA from 1 species
CCUACGGGGGGCAGCAGUGGGGAAUAUUGCACAAUGGGGGGAACCCUGAUGCAGCGACGCCGCGUGAGUGAAGAAGUAUUUCGGUAUGUAAAGCUCUAUCAGCAGGGAAGAAAAUGACGGUACCUGACUAAGAAGCCCCGGCUAACUACGUGCCAGCAGCCGCGGUAAUACGUAGGGGGCAAGCGUUAUCCGGAUUUACUGGGUGUAAAGGGAGCGCAGACGGCUGUGCAAGUCUGGAGUGAAAGGGGGGGGCCCAACCCCCGGACUGCUCGGGAAACUGUAAAGCUGGAGUGCAGGAGAGGUAAGCGGAAUUCCUGGUGUAGCGGUGAAAUGCGUAGAUAUUAGGAGGAACACCAGUGGCGAAGGCGGCUUACUGGACUGCAACUGACGUUGAGGCUCGAAAGCGUGGGGAGCAAACAGGAUUAGAUACCCGUGUAGUC